rnacentral:rRNA from 1 species
GACGAACGCUGGCGGCGUGCUUAACACAUGCAAGUCGAACGGAAAGGCCCUGCUUUUGUGGGGUGCUCGAGUGGCGAACGGGUGAGUAACACGUGAGUAACCUGCCCUUGACUUUGGGAUAACUUCAGGAAACUGGGGCUAAUACCGGAUAGGAGCUCCUGCUCCUUGGGGGGGGUUGGAAAGUUUCGGCGGUUGGGGAUGGACUCGCGGCUUAUCAGCUUGUUGGUGGGGUAGUGGCUUACCAAGGCUUUGACGGGUAGCCGGCCUGAGAGGGUGACCGGCCACAUUGGGACUGAGAUACGGCCCAGACUCCUACGGGAGGCAGCAGUGGGGAAUAUUGCACAAUGGGCGGAAGCCUGAUGCAGCAACGCCGCGUGCGGGAUGACGGCCUUCGGGUUGUAAACCGCUUUCGCCUGUGACGAAGCGUGAGUGACGGUAAUGGGUAAAGAAGCACCGGCUAACUACGUG